rnacentral:rRNA from 1 species
GACGAACGCUGGCGGCGUGCUUAACACAUGCAAGUCGAACGGUAAGGCCCUGCUUUUGUGGGGUGCUCGAGUGGCGAACGGGUGAGUAACACGUGAGUAACCUGCCCUUGACUUUGGUAUAACUUCAGGAAACUGGGGCUAAUACCGGAUAUGAUCUCCUGCUGCAUGGUGGGGGUUGGAAAGUUUCGGCGGUUGGGGAUGGACUCGCGGCUUAUCAGCUUGUUGGUGGGGUAGUUGCUUACCAAGGCUUUGACGGGUAGCCGGCCUGAGAGGGUGACCGGCAAAAAUGGGACUGAGAUACGGCCCAGAAUACAACGGGAGGCAGCAGUGGGGAAUAGUGCACAAUGGGAGGAAGCAUGAUGCAGCAACGCCGGGUGCGGGAUGACGGCCUUCGGGUUGUAAACCGCUUUAGCCUGUGACGAAGCGUGAGUGACGGUAAUGGGUAAAGAAGCACCGGCUAACUACGUG